rnacentral:rRNA from 1 species
GACGAACGCUGGCGGCGUGCUUAACACAUGCAAGUCGAGCGGUAAGGCCCUUUCGGGGGUACACGAGCGGCGAACGGGUGAGUAACACGUGGGUGACCUGCCCUCAGCUCUGGGAUAAGCCUGGGAAACCGGGUCUAAUACCGGAUAUGACUCCAUGACGCAUGUUGUGGGGUGGAAAGCCUUGUGCGGCUGAGGAUGGGCCCGCGGCCUAUCAGCUUGUUGGUGGGGUGANGGCCUACCAAGGCGACGACGGGUAGCCGGCCUGAGAGGGCGACCGGCCACACUGGGACUGAGACACGGCCCAGACUCCUACGGGAGGGCAGCAGUGGGGAAUCUUGCGCAAUGGGCGAAAGCCUGACGCAGCGACGCCGCGUGAGGGAU